rnacentral:rRNA from 1 species
AGAAUCAACGCUGGCGGCGUGCCUAACACAUGCAAGUCGCACGAGAAAGGGUAGCAAUACCUGAGUAAAGUGGCGCACGGGUGAGUAACACGUGACUAACCUACCCUUGAGUGGGGGAUAACCUAGGGAAACCUGGGCUAAUACCGCAUAAUACCUUCGGGUCAAAGGAGCAAUUCGCUUAAGGAGGGGGUCGCGGCCGAUUAGUUAGUUGGCGGGGUAAUGGCCCACCAAGACUGUGAUCGGUAUCC